GAAUGAAGUGCACUUUGGAACAUAUUCCUAGAGGCAACUUCUGCAAUUUGAUGUCUCUGGAGUUCCAGAUCCAGCAUCCAACUGCUUGCUGGAUUCACAUGGACAUGUUUGUAUCUUCCACGUGCCAUGUCCAAAAC